AGUAAAUAGAUACCCGGUAGUCCACGCCGUAAACGAUGAGUACUAGGUGUAGGAGGUAUCGACUCCUUCUGUGCCGCAGUUAAAACACAAUAAGUACUCCGCCUGGGAAGUACGGUCGCAAGAUUAAAACUCAAAGGAAUUGACGGGGGCCCGCACAAGCAGCGGAGCAUGUGGUUUAAAUUCGAAGCAACGCGAAGAACCUUACCUAGACUUGACAUCCCCUGAAUAACGUAGAGAUACGCGAAGCCCUUCGGGGCAGGGAGACAGGUGGUGCAUGGUUGUCGUCAGCUCGUGUCGUGAGAUGUUGGGUUAAGUCCCGCAACGAGCGCAACCCUUAUCAUUAGUUGCUACCAUUUAGUUGAGCACUCUAGUGAGACUGCCCGGGUUAACCGGGAGGAAGGCGGGGAUGACGUCAAAUCAUCAUGCCCCUUAUGUCUAGGGCUACACACGUGCUACAAUGGUGAGAACAACGAGAUGCAAUACCGCGAGGUGGAGCAAAACUUCAAAACUCAUCUCAGUUCGGAUUGUAGGCUGAAACUCGCC
rnacentral:rRNA from 1 species